CGCGCAGUCCCGCGCAAUGCACGCGCAGCCGUGUGCAAGGCGCGCAACACCCCCCUCCCUCCCCCCCUUCUAGUCCCCGUCCCCCCUCCCCUCCAAACACACACAUUCCGCUUCCCCGUGCAGCGCACACGCGGUGCCAGCGCCGGCAGCAGCGAAACUUUGCACCGUUACCGACCCCGCGUCCGGAGCGGCUGCUGGGCGGCAGUAAGAAGCUCGUGGGAAACUUCAGGAGACUUUUGUAAGAGCUUGUAAGCUCUUUGAAGCUGGAGACUUUUUAUAUCUUGGCAUUGGUUCGUUGCAGAUUACAGAGCUCUGAUGCAAUUAAAGGGACCCGUUUCCAGUCGUCUUAAGCAAAACUUGCAUUACUUGCAACAAGUGAGAAAUGUGUGCCGAGGCUCCAAGUCAGCAAACCGGUUCACAUGCUGCAGUUGCCGUAUCAGUUCCUAAAGCUGCUUGUAGGAAAUCACUCAGCCUAAAGAAACUCCUGGGAUCCCAGCCUCCACCAUCCCAUUUCAAAAUGCACGGAACUUGGAUGGCCUAAUGGGCAGGAACCUAAUUGCAAGAAGGCUCUGGAGGACGGUCAGUGCUGGAUGGGAGCUGCACCGUUAGCGUGUUACCCCCUCCCAAUAAAGGAGAAUCCAGGCUCUAAUCCAUACCCCCAAGACGCGCCAGCUCGCCGGGAACCAAAGCACGCCCACACUCGAGUUGGAGACUUCUGUGCUCAGACAAGGAGGAUUACGGACAUCAUAUGACUAAUUCUGCAAUGACGGUAUAUGCUUAAUUGGUAAAGGACUGCAUUUUCUAUCUUUUUUUAACCCAGGACAUAGCGUCAAAGGUCUGCCUAAUGCUUGAGGUUCCUUUCAGGUAUUUUCUUCAUUGAGGUUCACUGUACUGAAGGUUACUGUGGCUGCUGGCUUUGUCUUGUACCUUUGAGCACUACUGUGCUUUUUAGUGAUGAGAAACCAGCAUUCAAAUUCCCCUGAAACACCAGGUUCUGCUGCUCUCACAGCUCACAGAGUGAUUUCCCUGAACCUCAGGUACAGAAGCUCCAGCUGUUGCAAAAGCCAGUGGACAGGAGUCAGGAAAAGCAGAGUAAAUGGACUAUGAUACCAAACCGUAGACAUUCAUUUUAAUGUCCUACUUUCAAUCUCUCUGCCUCAGUUUCCCUGUAAAAAACAAAUACAGUCAUUUCACUAUUGGUGGUGCUUAGCUCCUAAAAAAAAUAAGUAUCUCUCUAACUUCCAAGAGCACAUUUUACAGCAAGUUCAAGUCAAUGCAUCUUAAAUUUGGUGGAAGGAAGAUGUUUCUACCAGCUGAUGGUACUUAACCAUUCAAACAGAUUACCAGGUGCCACAACAGCAAAAUCCCUUCUGCUUGAAGUGUUCGAGACUGCCUGGAUGUCUGUCAGGAAAAUGUACUCCCAAGUUGGUGAUAGCAAUACCAGAAUCACUUCUUGGUGACAAUCAUAGUGGCUGUGACAGCCUUCAGUAAUGGGAAUCUAUUAAUCUCGUGUUCUGUGCCCGUAAAGCACUCUGUCCUCCUUCCAUUAAAAGCUGAAGUUGCCACUGAAAUCAUUGGAAUUCAUCACUUCAGCGUUUGGGAAGACCUGCCACAAUAGCAAUCCCCUGUUUGCAAUCGAGGAGAUGGCAAGAGCAAUCACAUGCAUAGGUAGCUGAUGUGCAGCUCUGAGGACUGUAGUGGUACAGAAACAAGCUGAGAAAUAAGUGUGCCAUAACUGUAGAAUUUGGUUAUUUUAGAGCAUUAAAAAUCCAGCCUUUCUUUGUCAAGGAAACACUGCACAUGAACAGAGCUUUUCUGUGUGGAAUAUUGCAAAGAAAUCUCAGUUAUGUUUAGUGUUAGAAUGGCACAAAGGAAAUCUCAUUAGAACUCACCAACAAUGAUCUGUUAUAAGGGAACAGGAGCAAUUUGUGAGCUUUCGGAAAAAUAGAGUGUGUCUCUGUUCUGCCCCUGUCCUCACUGUCUGCUGUUACUCUAGGACACCGAUUUCUUGAGAGAAGGAUCUGCUCCUUCUUGCUCACGUUGCUCUUAUACAUCACGUUUUAUUUGCUAGGAGACUUGAACGACAAGCAACAGACUCUCUUGUUCCUAUUUUAAACAUGGAAACGGCAGUACAGCGAAAUAAAAUGACUUGUACAGGGUCACAGAACAAUUUUGUGGCAGGGCUAGGACCAGAACCCAGCUCCCUUGCUCCCAAAACUGUUUGCCAGCCUUCAGCUCUUCAUUGACCCUUAAUUUUAAUCACCAUCCAAGGAUAUCUGUUGGCCUCUUCCAAUUGACUUCCAUGGGAGUAAUGGCAGGUAUCAAAUGAAGUCACUGGGAAUAUCAAUGCAAAAGAAGCCAAUAUUAAAUGCAAAGAAAGAACCGAUGGAAAUGAAAAAAUAGAUUUUACAAAAAAAAGGAAUAAGUUCUAGUGCCUCUUCCAUAAUAUCAUUCCCCCUUUAAUUUGUGCCUGGUCAAAAUUAAAAAAAAAUAGAUUGCUAAUAUUAAUAGAUGAAAUGAAUCUUGAAUUUUAUAAUAGUGGAGGAAAUGAAAGGAUCCAAGUAAUAUUGUGUUGUUAACUGAGAUUUUAAUAAUGAUUCUGUCCUCAGUUGGUGCAUUUAUUCCACAGAAAGUAAAUCAUUAAUGAAGAAGGGUAAAAACAGUUUUAUGGUGAUGGAUUUUUGAAAGAAAAGUUUAAUUUUGCUUAACUUCUGGAAACUCUGGAAUAUGACUGGAGCUCUAAAACUAAAAGGCAAACACCUCAAAACCAGUCCACUAAGACGGGAUUUAGCUGAGUGGCUAACACAGCCUGGGGGAGGAUGGAGCACUGUUCUUGGCUUCUCUCUGAGAGAGCAGAGGUGAGUGGAAGAGGUGUUAGAGAUGUUGUUUUUGAUGGAGAAAGGGAGGUUUGAAGGUUUGCUUUUGAAAUAAUAGAAUCGUAGAAUAGUUUGCGUUGGAAGGGACCUCCAAAGCUCAUCCAGUGCCACCCCUGCCUUGAGCAGGGACAUCUUCACCAGCUCAGGUUGCUCAGAGCCCCAUCCAGCCUGGCCUGGGAUGUCUCCAGGAAUGGUUCAUCCACCACCUCUCUGGGCAACCUGGGACAGGGUUUCACCACCCACAGCAUAAAAAAUUUCUUCCUCAUGUCUGGCCUGAAUCUCCUCUCUUCUAGGUUAAAACCUUCACUCCUUGUCCUAUUGCAACAUGGCCUACUAAAAAGUCUGUUGCCAUCUUUCUUAUAGGCCCCUUUUAAUUACAGAAAGGCCACAAUAAGUCUCCUUGGAGACUUCUCUUCUCCCGGCUGAACAACCCUAACUCUCUCAGCCUGUCCUCAUAAGAGAGAUGUUUCAGCCCUCGUAUCAUCUUGUUGGACUCCUCUGGCCCCUCUCCAACAGGUCUGUUGGUUGGUUGUAUUCUCAUAGCUAUUUCCGAAUUGCAUCUGGAGAGCAGUAAGGACAUCAUCCUAAAACAAGGGGGAUCUAACAACGCUCAUCCUAUGGUCUCUGUGAACUUUUGCAAGAUCUGCUUCCACCAUGUCUUCUGCAGGGGAUGGGUGUAUUCAAACCACUCUCAGUGCUGUGAGGGUGUUUGAAUUCCCAGGUGAAGAGCAAGCCCACCAGGGCUGGUGUGUCCAAUGGUGGCUCUUGACCUACCCCGCACUAUCUUCAACCACCUCCAAGGAGUCUCAUAAAAAAGGGCUUCCUGGCGCCCAUUUCACACCAACCCCUUUGGCUGAAAAUGUCGAGCACAGGGAGAAUCAUGAUCUCAGAGCAGUGAAGAAGAAAAGCAUCUCUGUAGCUGGGGUUCGCUGCCCAAGAAAAAAGCAAAUAUGGAACAUACACGUCUGUAUGUGCACAGAAGAGAAGGGAGAAAAGACAGAAUUCCCCUGAUUCCUUAAUGAGCAUAGCAACCCAACAAUGAAUGUAGAAAUUUGCAAAUUAAACAACAUUUUUGUAUUUAAAUUACCAAAUCAAUAAAGAGAUGUAAACAUUAAACAACAUUAUAUGAGAGCCUGGAGUGUCACCACAAAAAUUAAGAGUAUGUAAUUAAAAGUACAAUGCAAUUUA